AACCUGGUUGGGUGGUCUGCCUUCACGGUACGUACUGCCUGGCCGGGUUCUACCUCUUGGUGAGCCGGCAUGCCCUUCACUGGGUGUGUCGGGGAACCAGGACUUUUACCUUGAGAAAAUUAGAGUGUUCAAAGCAGGCCUUUGCCCGAAUACAUUAGCAUGGCAUAAUAAAAUAGGACGUGCGGUUCUAUUUUGUUGGUUUCUAGAGUCGCCGUA
rnacentral:rRNA from 1 species